rnacentral:rRNA from 1 species
CCUACGGGAGGCAGCAGUGGGGAAUAUUGGUCAAUGGGCGCAAGCCUGAACCAGCAACGUCGCGUGAAGGAUGAAGGCUUUCGGGGUGUAAACUUCUUUUAAGAUGGAAGAGCAGUAGACGGUACCUCUUGAAUAAGACACGGCUAACUACGAACCAGCAGCCGCGGUAAUACGUAGGUUGCAAGCAUUAUCCGGAUUUACUGGGUGUAAAGGGAGUACAGCCGGGAAGGUAAGUCAGGUGUGAAAUUCAGCGGCUCAACCGUAGAACUGCAGUUGAUACUGGCUUCCUUGAGUACCGGAGAGGUAGUCGGAAUUCGUGGUGUAGCGGUGAAAUGCGUAGAUAUAACGAAGAACACCAGUUGCGAAGGCGGAUGACUGGACGGCAACUGACGGUGAGGCGCGAAAGUGUGGGGAGCAAACAGGAUUAGAUACCCCAGUAGUC